rnacentral:tRNA from 1 species
GAGGGGAGGUCGAACCAACAAGAACUGCUAAUUCUUGCAUCUGGGCUUUAAACCCCAGCCCCCUUA